AUGAUCAGGGGCAGAGCGAAUCUGCAGCAAGUUGCAUAAACCAAUGUCUUUCAGAAGAUCUAGGGUCUCUUCCAUGGAGCCUUUCUUUUGUAAGUUUCAGACACGAAAUUAGCAUAUGUAAAAUAGAGUUUCAGAGGGAAAUAAUACUCUGUAAGAAGGAGGUAGUCUAUCUGUGAACAAGUUUGGACAAAGGACUCGCGUAGGAAACAGGAUGUACAUAGUACGAGGCAGAAAGCAAACGAUACGCUAGAUAAAUUCUGGAAAUUCUGCUGGCUCAUUGGAGGAACAUCGCGAUCGAACCGUAAACCUAGGACGAAGUUGUGAUUGAGACACUAUGGACUUCCGGAAUCGUAUUGCAACAGUAUAGAAAUUGAACGCCAGAUAACCAGGACCAGAGGAACACAAAACAGUGAAAUAAGAAAAAUACAAAAAGAAAAAAAGUAAAAGUGUAAGAAGAGAUGACACGUAGAAGGCCAUUGAGCUUAGGUCAGUAGAGGAAGAAGCACGAUGCCGCUGUCACAUAAAAUUAAUGAUAAAAAAAGCAGUAGCUGAGCAAUAACUUAACUGUGCUUUUAUAAUUUUGUAGGCUUUUAUUCAUGAAAAUGAUUAAGUAUAAUAUUACAAUGAUUGAAUGCUUGCAGUUUUUAUAUAUUGCGUUUGUAGGCGUUGAGGGGCAAGGAGAGGAUCCUGAUUGCCCUACGUAACAGGGAAAAUGUAAUGUUAGGCCAUGUGCGAAAGUCAGGUCAAAGCCUGACGGUUCACUGUCAGGUAGUAUGGAAUGACGUGGAUUUGGGUAUGGUCUUUGUCACACCGCUAAAGUCGCCAUUGGACAAUGCUUGAAAGACAUUCAAAACUGACUCAGACUGUUUGCAAGAGUUCGAGGAGAAUUAAAAUGCAACAUACCCCGAGCAACUAUCAUCCUGCUGCUCCGGUCUGCCGAAAACGGUGGAAGGAGGUACCGUACGAAUAAUAAACAACGUGCAAGCUCACUCGAGAACGCCAUAACGACGAAUCUACAUAAAACAAGCGUAAAGGGGCUCUUGUAUCGCGGUUGGACACGAAACACACGGUAUAAUAAAGAAACGAAUCAGGAGAUUGUAGUGAGAACGAUAGAAGUAGGAGGAGAAGAGAGAAGAAGAGAAAAGAGAAGGAAGAAACAAAGAGGGCAAGGGUUCUGUUGCAGUUCAUAGCGAGUUAGGUGGCGAAGGAUUCAAGGCGAAGGCGAGAUGAAGAGACAGGGCGAGCAGUCGGCAGAUGAAAAUUUUGUUCCUUUCACCUACACACGCCGACGUCGAAGAAACGACCUCCGAUUGUAAAAACGAUGAAGCAAGACAUUAGCUUUAUGAACUGGAAGAAAAAACAGGGAAGAGAGAGAGAAGAAGGAGAGUGAGAAAGGAAGAGAGAGAAGACCGUGACCACGGAUCUGGACCUUCUCCAAAGCUACAGAAACUGUUGGUCGUGUUGCCGGUUGUUAGAGCCGUACAAAACCAAGAUUUUAAAGUCGACAACAAAGUGCUGCAAACUGGGGCGCAACGAUUUCGGUCUCCGCGUUCGGUCGUUCGUUAUUAACGUUUUCAGGACUUUUCGCUGCAUUCGGUCCUUUAUUCCGCUCUCUCUGCCCUUUCCUCUCUCGCUGACUUUUCCCUCCUCUUUAUCGCUGCCUCUUUGUCUCCCGUGUCGGAUGUGUAUUUUACUGCACGUAAAAACCGAAUCUGUAACGCGUUCAGCGUGCCUGAUACAUGUAACACGCGUAACUUCUUUUUAUGUUUCAUACUCGCCAUUUUUAUUUCUUUUCUUUCUUUUCUUCUUUGGGAGUUGGGAGGGUGAGAGGGAGGGGAGUGUCUUCGACAGUUUCGUUCCAAUUCGCUGAAAAUUCUUCAAUGCCGCUGCUUCCAGCGAGAGGUCAAUGUUCUGUCGUCUAUCAACCAGCAGGUUUUUACAAAAUUGGGAUACGCAGCUGUCAGACGCGUUUAAAACACGCUGCGCGCAUUCCAUUGGUAGAAUUCGCUGUUAAUACCUCGUUUUAUCCGCGUAUCUCACCCCUACCUUUUAACAUGCGUCAUAGUGGAAUGGUAUUUUAAUUUCAAGAAACCUGUAAAACACUACGUUUUGUUAAUUACUAACAGAAGGUUGAAGAACGUUAAACUACAUUUUUAGAUGAUCUAUGAUGAUGUAGGAAUAGGUAGGCAUAUGUAUGAUUUAAUUAUGCUUUUGAAACAGACCAUCUGAAUAAUUUUCUCGUCUCUGUACAACAAAUUUUAUACCGCAUAUGCCGAAUUAAGUAUGCAAAUCUUUUAAAUAAAUUGAUUUGCAAACUACUUAAUGUGCCAGAGAAUAAGAUGCAUUUGGAGUUUCUUUCUUAUUAGAAGAAUGAAAAACGCAUUAGAAAUAGCGAAUGAAGCGUGUGCUAUCUCUAGAGAAGAUGCUCGUCAUGAAAGAAUUGCCUGUAAGUGAUUUGUUAGAUUUAAAACUGAUCAUUUGAACUUUGAUGAUGGAAACCUGCACGAUCUGAAAACUGCUGACUGAAGACAAUAAAUGAAAAGCUAUCGUGUUAAAAAUAAAUCUAUUUUCCAGGA